UUUUAGAAUUCCGACACGGAGACACCGCCGUGCUCUAGUGAUGGCACCGCCGCACACGACGACAGUUUGCCUCGACCUGGCUGUCUUUGGCUAGUUUUAGUCUGUUUUGGCCGAUUUUAUAUCCAUCCCUACGAGAAAACACGUUAGGGGACAUCGGUAUUUUCCUUCAGUCAAUCUAUAGAAAACAGAAUGGUGAACACAAUGGUAAAGAAAUCGCAUAAAACGGGAAACAGGAAUGGGCUCAUCGGAGGCAGGUUUGGAUUUUGUACACGACGACAUCGCUGGGCUUUGCUAACAGUUUUUGGCUCAUCUGUCGUUCCUUUUACUCUGAUUUGGCCAUGAGUGUGCUCAGAAUCAAAUUUCGAGCGGAUAAGAGAAUUUUUGCCUUUUUUGACGGUUGGAGAUGGCUCUAGCUUGACGGCCAGCGGUGGUCGACUCCCUUCUCUAGCAACUAGUUCUUCUUCUCCGAUGGGAAGCUUGCAGCUAGGGUUUAGGUUCGGUGUGAUGCGAGAUAUUUAUACCUGUCUCGCUUAAAUCUGUGCCGUUCAUUGCGUUUGAUCUCGACCAUCCUAUCGUGUUUAAAGAU
rnacentral:lncRNA from 1 species